GACAUUUUUAGAAGAGAAACAGCGAUGGAAAACCAGAACCCUUCUCUUCUGCAGCCAUGCUUUGAGAGAGGAAAUGGAAAAGAUCACAGCAAGAUCCCACCAGGCUGCUCCACAGUUCCAAUGGCUGGAGGACAAGCCCUCCUCACCAAAAUAACCACCUGAAAAAUCAUUCGACCAGGAAAUGCUCACUGCACCCAAAUACAAUAAGAAGUCCAACAAAAAGCAGUCAAGAUAUUAAAGUGGUUAAGAUAUUAAUCAAUUUUCCAAUUAUUUUAAA